AUGGCAAAAUAUUGGUGGAGUAGUUCUCUCGACCGGUUCUCUCUGCACUGGGUUGAUUGGCAAACACUUGCAUCACCGAAGGUACAAGGAGGGAUGGGUUUUCGGAAUCUUGAGAUGUUUAAUUUAGCCGUGCUAGGUAAGCAUGGAUGGAGAUUGGUCACAAGCCCAGACUCUCUCUGUGGUCGGGUGUUGAAGGGGAAGUAUUUCCCUCUCACGGACUUUAUGCAUGCCACUGUACCAAAUAACGCCUUGGCUACCUAGCGUGCUAUUAUAGCAGGAAGGGAGGCGCUCAAAGUUGGUUUGAUCGAGCGAAUUGGGGAUGGUUCCUCGGUGUCGAUCUGGAAUGAUACUUGGAUC
rnacentral:rRNA from 1 species